AUGAAAGACCUAUUCACCGGUAUUUCUGUGAGAAUCAAGGAUGUGCAGCCAAUUUGAAAUCUGUGUAUUGCAAUAAUACACAGCUCUUGAUGGAGCUUGACCCUGUCAUCCCAAAUUGCACAGGAUUUCCACCAAUCAACAGUGUCUGUAAGCAUGAUGGCCGGGCCUUUGUUUCCACUUAUACAGAUGGUAGUUGUGAGUUUGAAGGUGAAGGUCAUCUUGCAUCAGACAAAUGUCAAGACAACAACACCAUUUGUGCUUUCGGCAGAGUAUCAUCAGCCGCUGAAAAUGAUACCCAAACUAGAUCUUCAGAUAAUAUUGGUCUAAUUGUUGGUAAGUUCUGAACACGAGCAAAUCUGUAGAAUUUUUCCUGCUUACACUUUGUGUCCUCUGCUUGCUGAUAAGCUAACAUCUCCAGAAGACAAUCAGUGUCUUCCAUUUAUGCUGUUUGUUUGACUGGAGAAAAUAAUGCUUUUGGCUACUAACACAAAUGGCUCUCCUCUGCCAUCCUUUUGUCUUCUUGCUUUCACGAAGUGCUCAAAUAUUUGUCUUGCAAAUACUAAAAAUCAGGCCCCAGUAUAGCAGCAGCAGCAGUAGUAGUAGUAGUAGUACUAGUCAUUGGACUUACCUUGUAUUUCAAAACUAAUAUAUGCAAAAAAAAAACAGCAGGAGAUGUCCGAUAUAGAGGUGCAACCAGGAGAGAAUGACAACACAGAAACUAGUGAAAGAGAAUCUCUCAGAGGUCCUGGAUUGGCUGAUGAUGACACCUCCCACGAUUGCUCAGUUUGGCUGGACGGCCAGGUCUAGGAAGAGUUCUGGU